rnacentral:rRNA from 1 species
UACGAGGGGGGCGAGCGUUGUUCGGAAUUAUUGGGCGUAAAGGGUGCGUAGGCGGCUUUGCAAGUCGGAUGUGAAAUCCCUCGGCUUAACCAAGGAAGUGCAUCCGAAACUGCAGAGCUUGAGUACUUAAGAGGAUCGCGGAAUUCCCGGUGUAGAGGUGAAAUUCGUAGAUAUCGAGAGGAACACCGGUGGCGAAGGCGGCCUUCUGGACAGUGACUGACGCUGAGACGCGAAAGCGUGGGGAGCAAACAGG